rnacentral:rRNA from 1 species
GGCCAGACUCCUACGGGAGGCAGCAGUGGGGAAUAUUGCACAAUGGGGGAAACCCUGAUGCAGCGACGCCGCGUGAGCGAUGAAGUAUUUCGGUAUGUAAAGCUCUAUCAGCAGGGAAGAAAAUGACGGUACCUGACUAAGAAGCCCCGGCUAACUACGUGCCAGCAGUCGCGGUAAUACGUAGGGGGCAAGCGUUAUCCGGAUUUACUGGGUGUAAAGGGAGCGUAGACGGCAGUGCGAGUCUGGAGUGAAAGGCGGGGGCUCAACCCCCGGACUGCUCUGGAAACUGUACGGCUGGAGUGCAGGAGAGGUAAGUGGAAUUCCUAGUGGAGCGGUGAAAUGCGUAGAUAUUAGGAGGAACACCAGUGGCGAAGGCGGCGUACUGGAUUGUAACUGACGUUGAGGCUCGAAAGCGUGGGGAGCAAACAGGAUUAGAUACCCCUGUAUUA